AUCAUGAAUUCAUGACAUGCUUUGGUCAACCAGCCAGCCCUUGCAGGGCUCAACAGAAAAAGCUUUAGACAAAACGUUCACCAACUUCUAAAUGAAGAAGAGCAAUGCUGGAAGGCAGUUAUAUACAUGCAGAAUAUCUUUUUCAUCUAGGGAUGUCUGGACACCUGAGUGCUCUAUGAUCAAGGAGGCUGGAAGAAAAUGUUCUCUGUCACAUCCAUUGUGCUUGUGGAACUUCACAGAGAGAGCUGUGUGGCAUUCACUUUCUCUUUUGGUUCUCCCUGCUUUUCUCUGGGAUGUCCCCUGGAAACAAAUGGCACAGUGUCAUUUUUUUCCAAGCUGUGAAGGGAUCAUCUGUGUGAACUGCCUUCCAAGGUCAUGAAGCAGCAGCCAGGAUAUCCUUGGGGCCAUUUUCUUUGUUACUCCUUCUAUUUUCCCAGUGUGUAUAAAGCAACCAACCCUUCAGCUGAACAUCAGCUGGAGUUUGGGUGUCAGCACUGUGGUAGCUCGUGGAAGUCUUUGGGCUCAGGUGAAAGGACUCACAGGCCAAAUGUGAAAGAGGGAAAGGAAACCUCAGCACAUGUGAAACACACAGACUUUGAGGGAAUUACUGAAAAGCUUUGGGACUAAAUCUGGGCCUUGGAACAUGCUGGGAGAGGGGAGAAAUGGUUGUGAUUUUCAUUAAGCUAAGUUUCCAAAACAGAAUUCACCAUCAGGAUUAUUUUCAGAAGCUCCAAAAAUACAAAUACUUUUAUAUAAGCUCAUCUUAAGCAGGUAAACACUGUAUUUUGUAUUUGAAAUAUAAUGUCUCAGCAGUUUCCAUUCCAGGUUGAAUACAAGUUGCUGUACUUAACUAGGCCAUGCCUUGCAAACCUGUGGGAACCACUGGUUUCCACCUGUUCCAAACCAAAGGGUAGUUCUCAUCACCCCAUGCUUUAACGAGCUGCAGGUAAACAGCUGCAUCCCAGCUGGUUAGCCUAAAUUCCCUUUCUCUAAUGUGGCAAAAAGACAGGUAUUCUUAGGGUGCAGUUUAUUUGACCUGCUUUACAUGUUAGCUUAAGGGUGGAUGAGGUAAAUCUUACCCUAAAAGGUCUGAGCCCAAGUUAAAUGCUCAGAGGAAAACAGGUAAGUUUGCUCAAAUCAGCUCCUCUCACCAGGUCUGGAUUUUAAGUUGUUUCCAAACCUUCUUAAAAAUAUCAGCCAACUUUUUCCAGCUUUCAGUUUUUCCAUUUGGGAAAAUAAAGUGU